GACGAACGCUGGCGGCGUGCUUAACACAUGCAAGUCGAACGGAAAGGCCCUGCUUUUGUGGGGUGCUCGAGUGGCGAACGGGUGAGUAACACGUGAGUAACCUGCCCUUGACUUUGGGAUAACUUCAGGAAACUGGGGCUAAUACCGGAUAGGAGCUCCUGCUGCAUGGUGGGGGUUGGAAAGUUUCGGCGGUCGGGGAUGGACUCGCGGCUUAUCAGCUUGUUGGUGGGGUAGUGGCUUACCAAGGCUUUGACGGGUAGCCGGCCUGAGAGGGUGACCGGCCGCCUUGGGACUGAGGUACGGCCCCGGCUCCUACGGGUGGCAGCAGUGGGGAAUCUUGCCCAAUGGGCGGCAGCCUGAUGCAGCAACGCCGCGUGCGGGAUGACGGCCUUCGGGUUGUAAACCGCUUUCGCCUGUGACGAAGCGUGAGUGGCGGUAAUGGGUAAAGAAGCACCGGCUCACUUCGUGC
rnacentral:rRNA from 1 species